AUCGCUUCUCGGCCUUUUGGCUAAGAUCAAGUGUAGUAUCUGUUCUUAUCAGCUUAAUAUCUGAUAUGGACCUAAUUGGUCCAAGAUAUUAAACUUAUUUUUGUGAACGGUGUUCCUCCGAAGCUUGCUUCGAGGUCGCCAGGGUUGGCCCGGUAUUGCACUACCUCCGGGAACGGCCCGUCCCCC
rfam:Ixodes scapularis strain Wikel colony gcontig_1107728559168, whole genome shotgun sequence.